CCUACGGGUGGCAGCAGUGAGGAAUAUUGGUCAAUGGGCUUACGCCUGAACCAGCCAAGUCGCGUGAGGGAAGACUGCCCUAUGGGUUGUAAACCUCUUUUGUCAGGGAGCAACGCCGGCUACGUGUAGCCGGACUGAGAGUACCUGAAGAAAAAGCAUCGGCUAACUCCGUGCCAGCAGCCGCGGUAAUACGGAGGAUGCGAGCGUUAUCCGGAUUUAUUGGGUUUAAAGGGUGCGCAGGCGGAGGUGCAAGUCAGCGGUCAAAUUGCGGGGCUCAACCCCGUACUGCCGUUGAAACUGCAUCCCUUGAGUGCGCGAGAAGUAUGCGGAAUGCGUGGUGUAGCGGUGAAAUGCUUAGAGAUCAUACAGAACACCGAUUGCGAAGGCAGCUUACCAAGCUACUUCUGACGUUGAGGCACGAAAGCGUGGGGAGCAAACAGGAUUAGAUACCCGAGUAGUC
rnacentral:rRNA from 1 species